CCAAUAGCGUAUAUUAAAGUUGCUGCGGUUAAAAAGCUCGUAGUUGAAUUUCGGAAUUGAUGCAUCGGUCGUGCCUUAAGGGGCAUGAACUGGUGUAGCCAAUUUCUCACCUUCUGGUGAAUUGUUGAUGUUCUUAAUGGGUGUCUCAAUGAACUAGAAUUUUUUACUUUGAAAAAAUUAGAGUGUUUAAAGCAGGCAUUGAUUUGCUUGAAUACAUUAGCAUGGAAUAAUGAAAUAGGACAGUGGUUCCGUUUUGUUGUUUUCUAGGAUCACGUAAUGAUUAAUAGGGACAGUUGGGGGCAUUAGUAUUCAAUUGUCAGAGGUGAAAUUCUUGGAUUUAUUGAAGACUAACUAUUGCGAAAGCAUUUGCCAAGGAUGUUUUCAUUAAUCAAGAACGAAAGUUAGGGGACCAAAGACGAUUAAGUACGUCGUAGUCCUAACCAUAAACUAUACCAACUAGGAAUCAGACGAUGUUAAUUUUUUAAUGACUCGUUUGGUACCUUACG
rnacentral:misc_RNA from 1 species